rnacentral:tRNA from 1 species
GAGGGUAUAGCUCAGUGAUAGGGUGCUUGCUUAAACAUGCUCGAGGUCCUGGAUUCGAUCUCCAGUAUCUUCA